CCUACGGGAGGCAGCAGUGGGGGAUAUUGCACAAUGGGGGGAACCCUGAUGCAGCGACGCCGCGUGGGUGAAGAAGCGCCUCGGCGCGUAAAGCCCUGUCAGCAGGGAAGAAAAUGACGGUACCUGAAGCAGAAGCCCCGGCUAACUACGUGCCAGCAGCCGCGGUAAUACGUAGGGGGAAAGCGUUAUCCGGAUUGACUGGGUGUAAAGGGGGCGUAGACGGCGAUGCAAGCCAGGUGUGAAAGCCCGGGGCCCAACCCCGGGACUGCUCUUGGAACUGCGUGGCUGGAGUGCAGUAGGGGCAGGCGGAAUUCCUGGUGUAGCGGUGAAAUGUGUAGAUAUCAGGAGGAACACCGGUGGCGAAGGCGGCCUGCUGGACUGCAACUGACGUUGAGGCCCGAAAGCGUGGGGAGCAAACAGGAUUAGAUACCCUUGUAGUC
rnacentral:rRNA from 1 species